UAUAUGUGGUAGAACAUUUGUGUGAUGAGUACCCACAUAGGGUGGUGAGCUUGUGUUACUAGUGAUAGUGGUGUGUGAUUGCCUAUUGACAUCCGGUGUCAAAGGCAAUAAGGUUUGUUAGCUUAUAGUCUUACGGGUUUUGUAAGGUGUUUCUUGAGAAGGCGUAUGGUUGUGGGCCUCCUUUUUAAGGAGGGUAAAUUGUAAUGUCCCAUAUUUUUUUGAAUUUUUAUUUUAUUUAUUUUUUGUGCCUUAUUUUGCGUGCCACGCGUUUCCCGAGGCCCGGUAGGUCAUUUUCUUGAGCCAAUAGUUUUAGAAGUGUAUUUUUUAUUAUUUUAAGUCAAUUAGAGGCGACAAGAUAAAUUUUUAAAUUUUUUGGAAGUCGGGACGAUUUCUAGGCUCAGGAACUUCUCCCAAUUUUACCAUUUUCAUUGAGGGGCAUUAUGGACUUUUCUCAUGCAUAUACAUGUAUAUGUAUCUAUGUAUUAGAGGAGAUAUUUUGUGGGAUAUGAAAGGCAUUAAAUGGAUGAGUGAGGGCAAGAUUGUAACUUGACCUAAAGUUAGUAACCUACCAAACUUGGACACUGGGCAAAGGGAAGGCCAUACACACCAUUUGAACUUGGCUAACCCACCCCUUUCUUUCCCCACUUCGGCUAGCUCUCUCUCUCUCUCUCUCUAGGAUUUUCUUCUUCCACUCUCUAUAUCUAUAUACACACAUGACUAUAUGUUUCAUCUUCAAAAUUGAGAGGUUUAAGGUGAGAUUUUGGUGAUAAGCAAGGAGAGAGUUUUGUUCCACUUGUCUAAAACUUCCAUUUGAGACCAACCUUGCACACACUUGGAGGAUUUCAAAAUCUAGGGUUGCUAAGAGCUUGAUUGGCUAGCACAAAUUGAGUUUAUCGCAUAUCCUGCGGGAAGCAAAUUGUUUGACCCAUGAAGCGGCGAAGCUCUCCAAAUUUUCAGUGCAUUUGCUUCAGUUGGUGGAGAGGGAUUGUGGGGGUCUUGUCAUGCAUUGUUCCUCUAUUUUUCUUUUUGUGUGUUUGUUUUGUUGCCUUGUUAAAAAUUAAGAAAUUAAAAAAAUACUAAGACUCAUUCUCUUAA